AUUGAACGCUGGCGGCAUGCCUUACACAUGCAAGUCGAACGGUAACAGGUCUUCGGAUGCUGACGAGUGGCGAACGGGUGAGUAAUACAUCGGAACGUGCCCAGUAGUGGGGGAUAACUACUCGAAAGAGUGGCUAAUACCGCAUGAGAUCUACGGAUGAAAGCAGGGGAUCGCAAGACCUUGUGCUACUAGAGCGGCCGAUGGCAGAUUAGGUAGUUGGUGGGAUAAAAGCUUACCAAGCCGACGAUCUGUAGCUGGUCUAAGAGGACGAUCAGCCACACUGGGACUGAGACACGGCCCAGACUCCGACGGGAGGCAGCAGUGGGGAAUUUUGGACAAUGGGCGCAAGCCUGAUCCAGCAAUGCCGCGUGCAGGAUGAAGGCCUUCGGGUUGUAAACUGCUUUUGUACGGAACGAAAAGCCCUGGGUUAAUACCCUGGGGUCAUGACGGUACCGUAAGAAUAAGCACCGGCUAACUACGUGCCAGCCGCCGCGGUAA
rnacentral:rRNA from 1 species